rnacentral:rRNA from 1 species
CACGAAAGCGUGGGGAGCAAACAGGAUUAGAUACCCUGGUAGUCCACGCCCUAAACGAUGAGUACUAAGUGUAGCCAGAAGGCUGUGCUGAAGUUAACGCAUUAAGUACUCCGCCUGAGUAGUACGUACGCAAGUAUGAAACUUAAAGGAAUUGACGGGAUCCCGCACAAGCGGUGGAGCAUGUUGUUUAAUUCGACGAUACGCGAAGAACCUUACCAGGUCUUGACAUACUCGGCAAAUCUAUAGAGAUAUAGAGGAGGUUAACCGGGAUACAGGUGGUGCAUGGUUGUCGUCAGCUCGUGUCGUGAGAUGUUAGGUUAAGUCCUGCAACGAGCGCAACCCUUAUUGCUAGUUACCAUCAUUAAGUUGGGGACUCUAGCGAGACUGCCGGUGAUAAACCGGAGGAAGGCGGGGAUGACGUCAAAUCAUCAUGCCCUUUAUGACCUGGGCUACAAACGUGCUACAAUGGCUGACACAAAGAGAAGCGAGCUCGCGAGAGUAAGCAAACCUCAGAAAAGCAGUCUCAGUUCGGAUUGAAGUCUGCAACUCGACUUCAUGAAGUUGGAAUCGCUAGUAAUCGCGAAGCAGAGUGUCGCGGUGAAUACGUUCCCGGGAUUUGUACACACCGCCCGUCAAACCAUGAGAGUUUGUAAUACCCGAAGCCGGUGGCCGAACCGCAAGGAAGGAGCCGUCUAAGGUAGGACAGAUGAUUGGGGUUAAGUCGUAACAAGGUAUCCCUACGAGAACGUGGGGAUG